rnacentral:rRNA from 1 species
GACGAACGCUGGCGGCGUGCUUAACACAUGCAAGUCGAACGGAAAGGCCCUGCUUUUGUGGGGUGCUCGAGUGGCGAACGGGUGAGUAACACGUGAGUAACCUGCCCUUGACUUUGGGAUAACUUCAGGAAACUGGGGCUAAUACCGGAUAGGAGCUCCUGCUGCAUGGUGGGGGUUGGAAAGAUUCGGCGGUUGGGGCUGGACUGGCGGCUUAUCAGCUGGUUGGUGUGGUAGUGGCUUACCACGGCUUUGACGGGUAGCCGACAUGGGAGGGUGACCGGCCACAUUGGGACUGAGAUACGGACCAGACCCCUACGGGAGGCAGCAGUGGGGAAUAUUGCACAGUGGGCGGAAGCCUGAUGCAGCAACGCCGCGUGCGGGAUGACGGCCUUCGGGUUGUAAACCGCUUUCGACUGUGACGAAGCGUGAGUGACGGUAAUGGGUAAAGAAGCCACGGCUAACUACGUG